UUCGACCUGAGCUCAGGCAAGAG
rnacentral:rRNA from 1 species